rnacentral:rRNA from 1 species
GCCACGCCCGCUCAGAAACUUAAAGGAAUUGACGGGGCCCGCACAAGCGGAGGAGCAUGUGGUUUAAUUCGAUGAUACGCGAGGAACCUUACCUGGGCUCGAACGUAAGAUGACUGUAGGUGAAAGCUUACAUCUCUUCGGAGCAUUUUACGAGGUGCUGCAUGGUUGUCGUCAGCUCGUGCCGUGGGGUGUCGGGUUAAGUCCCAUAACGAGCGCAACCCCUACCUUUAGUUGCCAUCAGGUAAUGCUGGGGACUCUAAAGGAACUGCCUACGCAAGUAGUGAGGAAGGCGGGGAUGACGUCAAAUCAGCACGGCCCUUACGUCCAGGGCUACACACGUGCUACAAUGGCCGAUACAGAGGGCAGCUACCUGGUGACAGGAUGCAAAUCUCCAAAGUCGGUCUCAGUUCGGAUCGGAGUCUGCAACCCGACUCCGUGAAGUUGGAUUCGCUAGUAAUCGCGCAUCAGCCUGGCGCGGUGAAUACGUUCCCGGGCCUU